rnacentral:rRNA from 1 species
UCCGUAGGUGAACCUGCGGAGGGAUCAUUACCGAGUUAUACAACUCAUCAACCCUGUGAACAUACCUAAAACGUUGCUUCGGCGGGAACAGACGGCCCCGUAACACGGGCCGCCCCCGCCAGAGGACCCCUAACUCUGUUUUUAUAAUGUUUUUCUGAGUAAACAAGCAAAUAAAUUAAAACUUUCAACAACGGAUCUCUUGGCUCUGGCAUCGAUGAAGAACGCAGCGAAAUGCGAUAAGUAAUGUGAAUUGCAGAAUUCAGUGAAUCAUCGAAUCUUUGAACGCACAUUGCGCCCGCCAGUAUUCUGGCGGGCAUGCCUGUUCGAGCGUCAUUACAACCCUCAGGCCCCCGGGCCUGGCGUUGGGGAUCGGCGGAAGCCCCCUGCGGGCACACGCCGUCCCUCAAAUACAGUGGCGGUCCCGCCGCAGCUUCCAUUGCGUAGUAGCUAACACCUCGCAACUGGAGAGCGGCGCGGCCACGCCGUAAAACACCCAACUUCUGAAUGUUGACCUCGAAUCAGGUAGGAAUACCCGCUGAACUUAAGCAUAUCAAUAAGCGGAGGA